rnacentral:lncRNA from 1 species
UAGCACGUAAGCAUCAGAGGCAUGCAACAGCGGAACAUAACACAUCUUAGCCUCAAAGUACAGAUAGAGAGAAAUAAACUCUCACAUAGUGGAUUCAAGAUCAGAGAAAUAAACUCCUUAAUGUUUUAAGCAACGCCACAGAGAAUAGGAAAAAUAAAUUCCUAUAUAAGCAUGCAUAUUAAAAGUAGUAGAAAAAUAAAUUCUACCUACUCCCCCUC